AGAAAGAAAUCGGGAACAAUUGAAAAAUCCACUGGAGUAACACACUCAUAAAUGGGACAGAGACUCUAGAGACUUUACUGGGGAGUAAAGGGAUAAAAAUGCGUCAGCAGGUCACGACUUGAAACUUGCUGAGAGACACAAAGGAAAUCCAUGAAAUAAAUCAAUGGAAAGACUCGAGCUGACUCAAAGAUGCAUGUAUUGGGGAAUAUGCCAAUACAGCAAAAACUUAUCCGUAACGGAUACUUCAGAUAAAAAUCCGGACUCG
rnacentral:lncRNA from 1 species